rnacentral:rRNA from 1 species
UACGUAGGGUGCGAGCGUUAAUCGGAAUUACUGGGCGUAAAGCGUGCGCAGGCGGUUUUGUAAGCCAGAUGUGAAAUCCCCGGGCUUAACCUGGGAAUGGCAUUUGGGACUGCAAGGCUGGAGUUUGGCAGAGGAGACUGGAAUUCCUGGUGUAGCAGUGAAAUGCGUAGAUAUCAGGAGGAACACCGGUGGCGAAGGCGGCCAACUGGACGAAUACUGACGCUGAGACACGAAAGCGUGGGGAGCAAACAGG